UAUUCUCGUUUUGUGCUCGGCUUAUGUUGAGGUUGUAUUGAAUUUAUUUUAUACUAUCACUCACAGCACACUAACGCUGCUUUGUUGCAUAGUUUUUUACGCACGGCAUACUUGACGCCUGAGGAGAUUUGGUGUGGUAACGUUAGUGUGCAAAGUAGGUACGCUGUAAUAAUAAUGCUGAGUUACCGCUGUGGGACAGUCCACCUAAUGUGUGUUCAGCUAAUAAAGUCUAAUUACUCCAGUGUAUCUAACGUUAGUCAGUGCACUAACUUAACUCAACGUUAACCGAGAUUGACCACGUGCUGUGGCAAAUAGCUGCUAACCUGCUAGCUUUGCAUGGUCCGUCUGCUAACUGCCCCUAACGUUUCACAUUGCAGUGACGCAAAGGACCGGAUGACGCUACCUGUCGAUCAGACAUGUGAACAAAAGUCUAGCAUCUGGAAGAGGAAUGGUGUUGUGCAGUGGAGUUUCUCCGGCUCCUCUUCCCCUCCCCUGAAGCAGGACUAUCAGCUCACUGACCUGGAGGCCAGCUCGUUCAUUCCUCAAGGGCUGUUUCUGGAUGAGAGUAUUUCAUCUCCUGUUACCAAAGCCUGAGGAUGGGGGAGAGUUAGAGGACGUGGUUAGACAGGAUGUUGGAGCCACUGUGAACAUGAUUAACAAAAUGUAUCCCGCCAGCAAAAGUUUUCCCUUCAUAAUGGGUGGAGGAACUCCAACCGGAGAGCUGAUGAGGAGAAACAUUCCAAUUCAGUCAACUUUUGAGGCAGCGUCGUGCCAGAAAACCCUGUCAGCUCUGCAGCAGAAGCCACUGGUACAGUUGCAGAUCACAACUGAAGUUCAACCUGGACCUCCACCUGCUGCACAUGUCCUUGAACGCUGAGCUCUUGCAGCAUGGCCUGAACUGACCCUACCCGAUGCUGGGAAACCCAUAUCCAUAUUUUAUAAGAUGGACGAGGAGUUGGCAUCAGAACACUGCAAGCUGCAGCCUCAUGAACAUUGAUUACCUUUGUGUAAGCAGCUCUACUGUGGUCAUAUUGCUGGAUCAGGUGGGGGCUGGAGCCAAUCAAAGAUGGAAUUAGACGAGAGGCCGGGGUACACCGACAGGUUGCCAGUCCAUCGCAGGGCCAACACAGACAACCAUUCCCGUCAACACCACUGACCUUAUAAAAUAAAUACAACUGGAUCAUAAAGAAUCUGUAAACCCUGUUAAACCAGUGUUCUUUUAUUUCACUAAAUAAAAAUUGUUUUAGGCCA